rnacentral:rRNA from 1 species
GACGUAGGGGGCAAGCGUUGUUCGGAAUUAUUGGGCGUAAAGCGCUCGUAGGCGGGACAGGAAGUUCGUGUUGAAAGACCUCGGCUCAACUGAGGGACCGGCUCGAAUACUCUUGUUCUUGAGGCAAUCAGAGGGUGAUGGAAUUCCCGGUGUAGCGGUGAAAUGCGUAGAUAUCAUUUGGAACGCCAAUGGCGAAAGCAGGCAACUGGGGCUGUACCGACGCUGAGACACGAAAGCCAGGGGAGCGAACGGG